rnacentral:rRNA from 1 species
AGUGAACGCUGGCGGUAGGCCUAACACAUGCAAGUCGAACGGCAGCACAGUAAGAGCUUGCUCUUACGGGUGGCGAGUGGCGGACGGGUGAGGAAUACAUCGGAAUCUACUUUUUCGUGGGGGAUAACGUAGGGAAACUUACGCUAAUACCGCAUACGACCUACGGGUGAAAGCAGGGGACCUUCGGACCUUUCGCGAUUGAAUGAGCCGAUGUCGGAUUAGCUAGUUGGCGGGGUAAAGGCCCACCAAGGCGACGAUCCGUAGCUGGUCUGAGAGGAUGAUCAGCCACACUGGAACUGAGACACGGUCCAGACUCCUACGGGAGGCAGCAGUGGGGAAUAUUGGACAAUGGGCGCAAGCCUGAUCCAGCCAUACCGCGUGGGUGAAGAAGGCCUUCGGGUUGUAAAGCCCUUUUGUUGGGAAAGAAAAGCAGCAGGUUAAUACCCCGCUGUUCUGACGGUACCCAAAGAAUAAGCACCGGCUAACUUCGUG